GGGUCAGUAGGUUGGUCGUGCCACCGGUACGUACUGGUCUCACUGAUUACUCCUUCCUGAAGAACCGUAAUGCCAUUAAUUUGGUGUUGCGGGGAAACAGGACUGUUACUUUGAAAAAAUUAGAGUGUUUAAAGCAAGCUAACGCCUGAAUACAUUAGCAUGGAAUAAUGAAAUAGGACGAUCGAUCCUAUUUUGUUGGUUUCUAGGAUUGACGUA
rnacentral:rRNA from 1 species